AUUAAACUUUAAUUUGGUUACAUGUGGUUUUUGACAAAAUAAUUUGUGAGAUGGAUGCUAUUUUAUCAUGUAAGCAAAGUUAACAGCGAUUACAAGAUAAACAAAAUCCAGUUACAACUCCGAACCGCUAGAUGGCAGCAGUACACAAACACGGGGCCAAAUCUCGCGAGAAAGAUUUCCGCUGUUUGAAAAGCAACAACAUCAGCGAGCAGCCACGAGGAAAGCAUGUACCACACUCGUUUGGUCUUGUGUCAAAGCUGUGCGAAACUGGAGGGAGAAACUUGAGAGACCGUGCCGGAAGAAUGCUGGACAG